rnacentral:sRNA from 1 species
AGGCGCGCGAGCCCCACCCCCCCCAGCAACUCAGUGCGCAUGUCCGGGUCCUGACCCCUAGCGGAAGGUGGAGACGGGAAGAGGGAGGUGCUUUUGUUUCCGUGCAUAGGAGCAAAAGGAGGCUGCCCAUUGUGGUCCCUCGAAAAGCGCUAAAAGGGGCGGUAGGCGGAAGGAUCAAGGUGAUGCGUUCGAGAUGAGUGGCCCUGUAGUGCUCACCAGUGCCAAUGAUGGACCACAAUGUGGAGAUAUAAGCCAAAUAAAGGCUUUCGUCCCCAGCGUGCCUUUGGUCAUGGAGUGUCACCACAGCAAGAGAAGUGCUAAGACAAAGGGAAUCCACAGGCGGGAAGGAGCUCACAACACAGGGAUGUCGUCAAACCUCUGGAGAUUUUAGGAACAGAUGGAACAAGCCUCAAAAUAAUGGCUACGUACGAUAAACCUAUAAUCAAUGUUAUAACAUGGAGACAAACAGCAUUUUCUCUAAAACCAGGAACAGGACAAGGACGUUCACACUCUCUUAUCUAUAAGUGCUUGAAGUCUUAGUUAUAGCAAUUAGACAAGAGAAAGGCAUAAACAGGAUUAAAAAAAAUAGGACAGGAAGAAGAUAAACCCAUCUCUAUUUACAGAUGACACAAUUCUUGUUUAAAAGACCCUAUUGAGUCUGCUAGAAAACUAAUAAAUACAGUGAAGUUACCAUAUACAAAAUACAUGUUUAAAAAAAAAAAAAAAGAAGAGCCUUCAUUGUACUCCCAGGAAUAGAAAUCAGAGGCAAUAUUCCAUUUAAAAUAAUCAGCCCCAAUUAAGCAUUUAGAAAUAUAUCUAAGCAAAGAAAUAAAGGACCUUUACAAAAAUUAUCAAGAUAUUUAAAAAUGAAAUUACACAAGAUAUUGGAUUAUGAAAAGGCAUCUCAUGCUCCUGGAUUGGCAGUUAAUAUUGUGAGAAUGGACACACACGCGCACACACACACACACACACACAGAGAGAGAGAGAGAGAGAGAGAGAGAGAGAGAGAUCCAAAACAGCCAAAGCAAUCCUAGAUGAUAGAUGAUACUGGCAUAAGAUCAGACAGAUGCACCAAUGGGGUAGAAAAGAGGUCAAACAAGAAAGCUGUGCCCACUUAUUUAUUUACAAGGAAUAAAAAACAUACACUAGAUAAAAGCCUAUUCAACAAAUGGUUCUGGCAAAAUUUGAUACCUACUUGCAGAAGAAUGAAAUUAGAUUCGUAUUUUUCACCUCAUACAAAAAUCAAUUUAAAUUGGAUUAAAUAUCUUAAUGUAAAGCCGGAAACACUGAAACUUCUAGAAGAAAACACAGAUAGAGGGGAAUAUAGAACCCUUUUAAUGGAGGACCAACAGCACGGGAACUAGCAUCGGCAGAUGGGUUUACAUGAAAAUCAAGUUUCUGCUCAGCGAAGGAAAUGGUCAGCACAGCACAGACAGCCCACAGCACGGGAUAUCAUCUGCACCAGCUACGCCUCAGACAGACUACAAAGAACUGCAGAAAUUAAAUACCAAGGAAAUAAAACUGACAAUAAAUAGGUAAGUGAAUUGAAUAGACAACUUUUCAAAAAAA